CCCCCCUCACUCACCGUCUAUUAGACCCCCACAGACCCAAACCCUAAUAUCGCCGUCUGCCGUCGGCUGAAAAUCGCCUCCGCCGGCGGCGAUUGUCCAAAUGCCACCAAACUUACACCAAAGCUUAGCCUCCUCCUCCUCAUACUCAUACCACCACUAAAUUCUUUCAAAUCUCACUAGAAUUGUCGAAACAUUCCAAACCCUAGCGCCGCCAUGGACUCCUCCGCCGUUUUCGGCGGCGUCACUACUACAAACACCACCAAAAUAACACCCUUCAACCUUCGUCUUCCUCCCACCCUCCCCACCCACACCCCCAAUCCAAAUCUGCACUCCUUUUCCUUUAAUUACUCCCCAAAUCUCUGAAAUUUCUAAUCACAAAAAAAUAGAACCCUAGAGCUUAAAUUUGAGUCCAGAUCCCGAUUUAGUCACGAAAUAAUGUUUUCAUUUGUUCUUGGCGAAGAAAAAAGGUUUAACAUCAUUUCGAGACUCAAAUCAAAGGCUAGUCCUUUUCAAUUUUAAAUGAGUAAGUUUUCUUAGUUUUAUUUACGUUUAUAUCAACUUCUAUGCGAAUUUCAAUUUAGUUUGUGCAUUGAUCAGUGUUCUUAGAUUUGAUUUCUUCUUCUCUGCUUGUACUAAUAUAGCAUUGUUCUGUGUUAAUUUUGUUUGUUUUUUAGUUUUCUGUUUGAUUGAUAAUAGAUAGUAGUAGUUUUCAAUUCUGAGUUCAAUAGUUAAUUCAAGCCUAAGUUAGGGUUAUUUGGAUUUUUGUUCAAAUUUUGGGGGUUUUGUUAUAAUUGAAGGUCCUUUGGUUAUUGCUGAAUAAUUCCAAGCCCUUGUAGGUAACUAUUGUCAUCUUUGAGGGCUGGUGAUAGUUUAACCUAGGUUAAUAAUUUUGUGGGUAAAAUCAAGGGUAAUUGGGGUAUUUCAAUUAAGGAAUCUUGCAGUAACUAAAAGUAGAACCCCCUAGAACCCUCUAGAUUGGGGUUCCAAUUUAAAUUUCAAGAAUUAAGUAGUAUAACUUGGGUAACAAUUCAGUACCCUAAAGGUUUUUAAGCUAAAAAUUGAAAAUUAAGAGGGGGCUAAGUGUAAAGUAAAAAUUUAAAAGAUGCCCCAAUAUUUACCUAUAAAAGGCAGUCUACCCUGUCUUGCAAAGGAAGGUUUUGGAAGUCUGAAAAUUUUGAAAUCCAAAAUUUUGAAAUCUGAGGGUUUUGAAUAGUUUUGGAAGUGAGAAUUUAUAUCUUAGAAAGUUCUCUAAAGCCUAAAAUGCUACUGAAAACUCAACAAAAAUUUCUGUAGAAGUUGAGAAUUUAGAUACACAGAUAUUAGAUCUUAGAGAAGAUAAAAUCCUGAAAACCAACGCAAAAAGGGAGCUUAGGAAUCCAGCAGAGCUAGUGUUUAUAUUCAUUUGGUUGAGAAGUGUUUAAAUUUGUUCAUUGAAGCUUGGUGUUAGAUUCAGCUCGGUUAUUAGUCAAUUGGUUAAACUCUAAGGUAUUUCAAGUUGUUAGCUUGGUUAAUACUUGUUUCUGCUUCCCCUACUAUUUCCUGAUACUCCUGCUCACUUUUUCCUUCAAUUUUCAGGUAUUUACCUAACCAUUUAAUUGCCAGAGGUUAUGCAAAUAUGUAGUUGAAAUUUGAUCUGAAUAAAAGGCUAUCCCAAGCUGAUUUGCUCUUUUGAUUUCCUGCCUAUUCAUCUGAUUUGUAAUAAGAAAUGUAAUCAUAUAUGUUGUUCGAUUAAUUGAUCUAUGCAUUUAAAGUUUCAUAUGUUCAAUUGCCAAUAGUAAAAGUAGCAGGGCCUACAAGCUUGACGGUAUACAGCAUUGCUUGCUUUGGCUUAUAUUGUUCAUUUAGUUAAAUUUUGUUUUGAGUAGGUAAAUCAUGUGUAAUUAGAUUAGGUUUGUUGUAGGAGAAGCUGGGAUUAAUUAGUUUGGCUGAGAUUAGUUUGGAUUCUGUUUUAAAUUUGGAAAUAUGCCCGUUAGAUUCAAUUGCUCAAGUUUCACGUUAGUUACUAAAUGUAUCUCAGGUGUCCUGGGCCUAAACAUAUGGGCUUUUAAAGUCAACAUUGGAUUCAUGUAUCCUUUAAAGGAAAUCGAUCUGAUAAUAUGCUUUAAUUAGCUUUAUGUUGUUUUAAAUGUUUUAGUUAUUUUAAAAUUAGAUCAUGAGCAGUUUCAGUUGUUAAGUUGUUUUAAAAUGUUUUAGUUGCUACAAAUUGUUGUAGUGGUUUUAAACGUAGAUUAUGAGUAGUUUUAGAUAUUUUAGUUGUUUUAAUUUCUUUUGAUUGUUUUAAAUUAUUGUACUUGUUUUUCAAUUGCUUCAGUUUCUGUAUGGAAAUCCCUACUAUAAUGACCAAUCCAAAAAUGUAGAAUUUAAAGGAAAAUAAACA
rnacentral:lncRNA from 1 species